CCACGCCGUAAACGAUGAAGACUAGCUGUCAGGGUGCUUAGCACUUUGGUGGCGCAGCUAACGCAUUAAGUCUUCCGCCUGGGGAGUACGGCCGCAAGGUUAAAACUCAAAGGAAUUGACGGGGGCCUGCACAAGCGGUGGAGCAUGUGGUUUAAUUCGAAGCAACGCGCAGAACCUUACCAGCGUUUGACAUCCUGGUCGCGGGGAGUGGAGACACACCCCUUCAGUUAGGCUGGACCAGUGACAGGUGCUGCAUGGCUGU
rnacentral:rRNA from 1 species